rnacentral:sRNA from 1 species
GCCAGGCAUGGUGGAUCAUGCCUGUAAUCCCAGUAACUCAGGAGGCUGAGGCAGGAGGAUCUCCAGUUCAAAGCUGUCUCAGCAACUUAGUGAGACACUAUCUCUA